GACGAACGCUGGCGGCGUGCUUAACACAUGCAAGUCGAACGGAAAGGCCCUGCUUUUGUGGGGUGCUCGAGUGGCGAACGGGUGAGUAACACGUGCGUAACCUGCCCUUGACUUUGGGAUAACUUCAGGAAACUGGGGCUAAUACCGGAUAGGAGCUCCUGCUGCAUGGUGGGGGUUGGAAAGUUUCGGCGGUUGGGGAUGGACUCGCGGCUUAUCAGCUUGUUGGUGGGGUAGUGGCUUACCAAGGCUUUGACGGGUAGCCGGCCUGAGAGGGUGACCGGCCACAUUGGGACGGAGAUACGGCCCAGACUCCUACGGGAGGCAGCAGUGGGGAAUAGUGCACAAUGGGCGGAAGCCUGAUGCAGCAACGCCGCGUGCGGGAUGACGGCCUUCGGGUUGUAAACCGCUGUCGCCUGUGACGAAGCGUGAGUGACGGUAAUGGGUAAAGAAGCACCGGCUAACUACGUG
rnacentral:rRNA from 1 species